AACUUCAGCAAAGGAGAGCAACUGUAUUAGCAGCUUCCUGCCCAGCCCAGGGCUCUCACUGGGAGAGGCCCCAUGACCUCUGCUUGAAAGGCCAAGGCUUUCUAAAGAGGCAGGCGCUGCUUCACUCCUUGGAUGCACUUGCCCUAAAGGUUGACCGAUAGCUGCUGAUGCAAGCGCCAGAGAUCUUGUCCUGAGGUGAUGUGCUCGGAGGCUGCAGAGAACCCGUCUGUCUGUCUAGGUCCGUCUUUAAGAUUAAGGAAACUUUCCCCAGAAGUGUUCCCAGAACUUGCUUCUGGGUCUCAUCGGCCAAAGUUCAGCCACACACUCAUUCCUGUAACUCCUAGUCGGGGUAACGUAGGUUCUUUGCCUAGCAGGUAUCAUGGUGCACAUCUGGAAUCCCAGAAUUCAGGAGGCAGAGGAAAGAGGAUUGCUAGCUCAAGGCCAGCCUGGGCUACAGCGAGACGCCUCCUAAAACAAAAACAAGCCAGGUGGUGGAGAGGUAGCUUGUGUUUUCUUCAGUUCUUCGAUCCUGAUGGAAUUUAUUUCCAUGCUAAGAGUGAGCUGAUCCUGUGCGGACUCUGGGCUCCAGCCAUUUUAAUUACUCUUGCUGUGCAGUGUUCUGCAGAAUGUCUGCCAGACCUACCCUUCCGUGCUUAGUGUGCUUUGCUUUUCUCUGGAAUUUUUCUGUCUAUUCUUUUAUAUAUGUCCCCCCACCCCCAAUUAAAAUUGUCAUCA
rnacentral:lncRNA from 1 species